rnacentral:rRNA from 1 species
UACGUAGGGUGCAAGCGUUGUCCGGAAUUAUUGGGCGUAAAGCGCACGUAGGCGGCUUGGCAAGUCGGAUGCGAAAUCCCUCGGCUCAACCAAGGAAGUGCAUCCGAAACUGCUGAGCUUGAGUACUUAAGAGGAUCGCGGAAUUCCCGGUGUAGAGGUGAAAUUCGUAGAUAUCGGGAGGAACACCAGUGGCGAAGGCGGCGAUCUGGGAAGAUACUGACGCUGAGGUGCGAAAGCGUGGGGAGCAAACAGG